CAUGUAGGCGGUUUGAUCAGUCGGAUGUGAAAUCCCCGGGCUUAACUUGGGAACUGCAUUCGAUACUGUCAAGCUAGAGUAGGCUAGAGGAAAGGGGAAUUCCGCGUGUAGCAGUGAAAUGCGUAGAUAUGCGGAGGAACACCAAUGGCGAAGGCACCUUUCUGGGGUCAUACUGACGCUGAGAUGCGAAAGCGUGGGGAGCAAACA
rnacentral:rRNA from 1 species